CACGAUUUGGCCGAGUGGUUAAGGCGAUUGACUCGGACUAAGGAAUCUUUUGCUAUAAGAAAAAUAUUCUUAUAAGAAAUCUUGUUCUUAGGGAAUCAAUUUCAUUCAUGAGCGCAUUCGAAUCAUGCAGCUGUCG
rnacentral:tRNA from 1 species